rnacentral:rRNA from 1 species
CCUACGGGGGGCAGCAGUGGGGAAUAUUGGACAAUGGGCGAAAGCCUGAUCCAGCCAUGCCGCGUGAGUGAUGAAGGCCUUAGGGUUGUAAAGCUCUUUUACCUGGGAAGCGGUACCAGGAGAAUAAGCCCCGGCUAACUUCGUGCCAGCAGCCGCGGUAAUACGAAGGGGGCUAGCGUUGUUCGGAUUUACUGGGCGUAAAGCGCACGUAGGCGGAUUCUUAAGUCAGGGGUGAAAUCCCGAGGCUCAACCUCGGAACUGCCUUUGAUACUGGGGAUCUUGAGUUCGGGAGAGGUGAGUGGAACUGCGAGUGUAGAGGUGAAAUUCGUAGAUAUUCGCAAGAACACCAGUGGCGAAGGCGGCUCACUGGCCGAACUGACGCUGAGGUGCGAAAGCGUGGGGAGCAAACAGGAUUAGAUACCCUUGUAGUC